CAAAAUUUGCUAUAAUCCCUCCAACUCCAAGGCUUCAACGCUAAAGCCCUUCAAAAUUGAGACGACACCACCAUUGCAACUGAACUCCUUAGAAUCCAAAAUUGAGACGUCACCACCAUUGCAGCCGAGCUCCCCGCUUACGAGCUCGACCUCUGCCUCUACCUCGAUUACUCAGGUGCUUAGAUAUAUCUUUUCAUUUUGCAAUAUAUUUAGACCAUUGCUCCGCCCUAACUUCUCUCACUUCCCCCAUUUCCUCCGUCAAUUGCUCUCUCCACCGCCGUGUCGCCGCGGUGAUUCUCCUACCUUCAACCAAACCUGGUCACCGUCUCCAGCUUGGUGUGGAUUUUCACAACGAACCGGUUAAUUCCGCAAUUGAGCUGAUUGAAAUGGUAGUCACCUGAGACUGUUUGCGAGCUUUCUGGAAUAUCUGGUACUUCUUUCCUUGGCGAGAAAAAGUAACUCAAGGAUGGAAGCAAGAGGGAAUAUCAAGGAACCUAGUGAGGUGUAUCACUCUGCCCUGCCAGCUAUAAUGACCAAUAAAACAUUACCUAAUGUCCCUAGGCUUGUGGAUAAAGUGUGUCAAGCACAAGAUCCUUCUUGUGCUGCUGUGAAGGUUACAUGUGGAAUGCAGGACCACACUAAGAGCUGGAGAGAUAUCGUGGCAUCAAAUGGUUGAUUUAGUUUGUUAGAUGCAUUCUGGAUAUUUCUAUCCUUGGUUAUAUAUAUGUGAAACAGAUGAUAUCAAUGCAACUUUGAAUGAAUACAAAAACUUUCUCAUUUUAGAAAAA